rnacentral:rRNA from 1 species
UACGUAGGGUGCAAGCGUUAAUCGGAAUGACUGGGCGUAAAGAGCGUGUAGGCGGCUAGGUAGGUCCGUUGUGAAAACUCGAGGCUCAACCUCGAGACGCCGAUGGAAACCAUCUGGCUAGAGUCCGGAAGAGGAGAGUGGAAUUCCUGGUGUAGCGGUGAAAUGCGCAGAUAUCAGGAAGAACACCCGUGGCUAAGGCGGCUCUCUAGUACGGUACUGACGCUGAGACGCGAAAGCGUGGGGAGCGAACAGG